rnacentral:rRNA from 1 species
UACAGAGGGGGCAAGCGUUGUUCGGAAUUACUGGGCGUAAAGGGCGCGUAGGCGGCCUGUUAAGUCGAACGUGAAAUCCCCGGGCUCAACCCGGGAACUGCGUCCGAUACUGGCAGGCUCGAAUCCGGGAGAGGGAUGCGGAAUUCCAGGUGUAGCGGUGAAAUUCGUAGAUAUUCGCAAGAACACCAGUGGCGAAGGCGGCUUACUGGUCCGGUUCUGACGCUGAGGCGCGAAAGCGUGGGGAGCAAACAGGG